UACGUAGGGACCAAGCGUUGUUCGGAUUUACUGGGCGUAAAGGGCGCGUAGGCGGCGUGGUAAGUCACUUGUGAAAUCUCUGAGCUUAACUCAGAACGGCCAAGUGAUACUGCUGUGCUAGAGUGCAGAAGGGGCAAUCGGAAUUCCUGGUGUAGCGGUGAAAUGCGCAGAUAUCAGGAGGAACACCGGUGGCGAAGGCGGUUCUCUGGGCCUGUACUGACGCUGAGGAACGAAAGCGUGGGGAGCGAACAGG
rnacentral:rRNA from 1 species